GAUGAGUUUCACACAACUGUGACAUGGCCUGAGCAGCAAGCGCAGAGUAGUGGUUUUGGAGCAGCGGGAGCUCCUAACACUGAGGAGGAGAACUUUGAGGACGCAGAUGAUGAGAGUCAGGAGGACUCCGAUGACAGCAUGGGCUGAUAGCAGACAUCUACUGAGGGAUGUCUAUAGACAGGACUUAGUUUUUCUUUCUUUUACUUUUGUUUUCUUUCUUUUAUUUGUUUUAUUUUGUUUCGAUUUAAAUUCAUAGAAUAGGUUGAAUUUUUAUUUUUAUUUUGGUGUGUACUUUUGGAUUUACUACUUGCUCUGAAAAUGUUGGACCACCUGAUGUGCUUGAUGAAUCUACUUGAUGAUUAUUUGAUGUGGAAGAGAAGUGAGUUGUAAUGCAUGAUGAUAUCCAGGAAAUAGAUGGGUGAUGAAUUUAUGAUUGUGGUCAUGAUGCCAGGUAUGGUGUAUGAAUGAAUUUUGUGUGAGAAAGCAUGUGUGUGAGAUUUUGAGCUCCAGAGUUUUUAUUGUUGCAUGUAUUAUUCAAAGGAAAACAUGGAUGAUAUUGCCUUAAUCUUGAUGAUCGAUUGAAUUGCAUGUAAAUGUCAUAUGAUCAAGGCCAUUUUUGAAAACCCUUCUCUAGCCAAAUUUUCAUCCAAAGUGCUUGAAAUUUUAUAUCCCUUGUUUUGAAAUUCUUUACCUUGAGUUGGGAUGAGCUAAUUCGUAUGUGAUGAAAAGGUUCAAGUUUGGGGUUGUACGGGGGAAGAUUGGAAAAGAAAGUGAAAGGCAUUGAGCUCAAUUGUUGUGAAAAGAGAAAAUUCAUGAGAAAAAGAAAAGAAAAGAAGAAAAACAUGAAGAAGAGCUCAAUGCAAAAGAAAAAGAAAAGGGAAAAGUUGGGAAUGAGAGACAUUGGUGAGAGUUGUGCUUAAAUGUUGAAUAUUUUGAUAGCUCUCUUGACUCAAGGAUUUUGCAUUCUAGAAAAACCAAUUCUUUCUUGUUAGCCCAACAUCAUUACAAGCCUAGGAAAAGUCCUUUUGAUGGCAUUUGCAUGUAAAGAUGUUGAUUGUUUGAGAUGAAUGGCAAUUUUGUUUCAUGCAACUUGUGAGUAAUUGAGAGUUGGAGUGUCACCUUAAACACUAGAGUGAUUAAGUGAAACACUUGCUUGGUAUGAUUUGUUAACUUUCAUGAAUACAUUUUUGCUUAGUGGAUUGAUCAUUCAUAGUAUAUAACAUCUAUUGUGCAAUCUCAGGGUUGAAAGCAUGCAUGCAUCUUAUUUUGGAUUUCACUGAGGAUAUUGAAUUGAGUAAUUUUGUCAUCUACCUUGGGAUCGUUGAGGCAUUGAAUGAAAUAGUAUAAAGCCAAGUUUUGUUUUGUGUGAUUGUUUUGUUUGUUUU
rnacentral:lncRNA from 1 species